UACGAAGGGGGCGAGCGUUGUUCGGAAUUACUGGGCGUAAAGGGCGCGCAGGCGGCUCUGAAAGUCAGAUGUGAAAGCCCCGGGCUUAACCUGGGAAUUGCAUUUGAUACUCUGGAGCUUGAGUGUGGGAGAGGAGAGUGGAAUUCCCAGUGUAGAGGUGAAAUUCGUAGAUAUUCGGAAGAACACCAGUGGCGAAGGCGGCUCACUGGCCCGGUACUGACGCUGAGAUACGAAAGCGUGGGGAGCAAACAGG
rnacentral:rRNA from 1 species